ensembl:lncRNA
GUUUUCUUUGAAAAAAAAAUCAUCAUGAAUUUUGGCGCAAAAAAACGCCUUACUAUACUAUGUCGAAAAAAAAUUGCGACUUUUCAACAUGUUGUCAAAACGUGCCAUAUGAUGAAAUAAUGUAAAGGAGGCCGUGAAAAACACUCCAGAAAGGUUUUCUUUGAAAAAAAAAUCAUCAUGAAUUUUGGCGCAAAAAAACGCCUUACUAUACUAUGUCGAAAAAAAAUGCGAUUUUUCAAACAUGUUGUAAAAACGUGCCAUAUGAUGAAAUAAUGUAAAGGAGGCCGUGAAAAACACUCCAGAAAGGUUUUCUUUGAAAAAAAAAUCAUCAUGAAUUUUGGCGCAAAAAACGCCUUACUAUACUAUGUCGAAAAAAAAUUGCGAUUUUUCAACAUGUUGUCAAAACGUGUCACAUGAUGAAAUAAUGUAAAGGAGGCCGUGAAAAACACUCCAGAAAGGUUUUCUUUGAAAAAAAAAUCAUCAUGAAUUUUGGCGCAAAAAAAACGCCUUACUAUACUAUGUCGAAAAAAAAUGCCAUUUUUCAAACAUGUUGUAAAAACGUGUCAUAUGAUGAAAUAAUGUAAAGGAGGCUGUGAAAAACACUCUGGAAAGGUUUUCUUUGAAAAAAAAUCAUCAUGAAUUUUGGCGCAAAAAAAAACGCCUUACUAUACUAUGUCGAAAAAAUUGCGAUUUUUCAACAUGUUGUCAAAACGUGUCACAUGAUGAAAUAAUGUAAAGGAGGCCAUGAAAAACACUCCAGAAAGGUUUUCUUUGAAAAAAGAAUCAUUAUGAAUUUUGGCGCAAAAAAAACAGCAUAUUAUACUAUGUCAAAAAAUGUCAUUUUUCAACAUCUUGUGAAAACAUACCAAAUGAUGAAAUAAUGUAAAGGAGGCCAUGAAAAACAUUAUGGUAAGGUUUUCUUUGAAAAAAAAAUCAUGAAUUUUGGCACAAAAAACGCCUUACUAUACUAUUUCGAAAAAAAAAUGCAAUUUUUCAAACAUGUUGUCAAAACAUGCCAUAUGAUGAAAUAAUGUAAAGGAGGCUGUGAAAAACACUCCAGAAAGGUUUUCUUUGAAAAAAAAAUCAUCAUGAAUUUUGGCGCAAAAAAACGCCUUACGCCUAUGUCGAAAAAAAAUUAAGAUUUUUCAACAUGUUGUCAAAACGUGUCACAUGAUGAAAUAAUGUAAAGGAGGCCAUGAAAAACUCUAUGGUAAGGUUUUCUUUGAAAAAAAAUCAUGAAUUUUGGCGCAAAAAAACGCCAUAGUAUACUAUGUUGAAAAAAAAUGGGAUUUUUCAAACAAGUUGGAAAAACGUGCCAUAUGAUCAAAUAAUGGAAAGGAGGCCAUGAAAAACACUCCAGAAAGGUUUUCGUUGAAAAAAAAAUCAUCUUGAAUUUUGGCGCAAGAAAACGCCUUACUUACUAUGUCGAAAAAAAAAUUUGAUUUUUCAGCAUGUUGUAAAAACGUGCCAUAUGAUGAAAUAAUGUAAAGGAGGCCGUGAAAAACACUCCAGAAAGGUUUUCUUUGAAAAAAAAUCAUCAUGAAUUUUGGCGCAAAAAAUUUCAUAGUGAAAAGUCGUCCAAAAUGUCGAAAGAAAGUCAUAGUUUAGUAUGUCAUCAAAAAUGUCACAAAAACGUCAUAGUUCAGUAUGUCGUCCAAAAUAUGACAAAAACGUCAUAGUUUAGUAUGUCGUCCAAAAUGUCACUAAAACGUCAUAGUUUAGUAUGUUGUCCAAAAUAUGAAAAAAAACGUCAUAGUUUAGUAUGUCGUCCAAAAUGUGCUGAACAGGUGCUCAGGAAGCUCAACUGAUUGAGAAGCCGACUCGUCAACAGGACUGUGUGAGAGAUGCAGGUUCGAUUCCAGCUUAAAGCCUUUUACUGCAGAUCUUCUGCUGUCCUAUCUUAGUCUCUACUUACCUAUUGAAUAAAACCGUAUGUCAUCCAAAAUAUCAUAAAAAUGUCAUAGUUUAGUAUGUCGUCCAAAAUAUCAUUAAAACAUCAUAGUAUGUCGUCCAAAAUGUCAUUAAAAUGUCAUAGUUUAGUAUGUCGUCCAACAAAUUGAAAAAGGGUGCCCAGGUAGCUCAACUGGUUGAGAGGGUGACUCAUAAAGAGGAAUGCGUCAGAGAUGCAGCUCAUGGCCCUUUACUGCAGGUCUUCACUGCUUUCCUGUCUCCCUCUCAACUUACCUAUUAAAUAAAACCAACAAAAGGGCCCAAAAAACUUUUUUAAAAGUGUCAUAGUUUAGUAUGUCAUCCAAAAUAUGACAAAAAUGUCAUAGUUUAAUAUGUCGUCCUCAAUGUCACUAAAACGUCAUAGUUAAGUUUGUCAUCCAAAAUGUAGAAAAAAACAUCAUAGUUUAGUAUGUUGUCUAAACUAUGUUUUUGUGAACUGAGCAGCCUUGGCGGAGUACUGCACUCUCUGAUUGCUUUUCUAGUUACUGUAUGUAAUUUUAAAAAACAGGGAAAUCUGUAUAUUAACAGUAAAUUAUUCAAAACAUUAGUUAAAAACUGUCAAAAAACAUGAAUAGUUUACAAAAUACAUUUGUUUGGCAGCAAAGGAGAUCUGUGAUGAAUUUUGCAUUUCUUGAAGCAGCACUUUUGACACUUUUUAAAUUCUACAGCAUAAAAAGCAGCACCCUGACAGUUUAUUUGCUGUUUUUUACUCCAUUUUUGUUGUUUUCAAACGACACAUUUGUGAAGUGCUGAUUUAUGGCCCA